UACGUAGGGUGCGAGCGUUGUCCGGAAUUAUUGGGCGUAAAGAGCUCGUAGGCGGUCUGUCGCGUCGGUCGUGAAAACUUGGGGCUUAACCCUGAGCUUGCGGUCGAUACGGGCAUGACUGGAGUUCGGCAGGGGAGACUGGAAUUCCUGGUGUAGCGGUGAAAUGCGCGGAUAUCAGGAGGAACACCGGUGGCGAAGGCGGGUCUCUGGGCCGAUACUGACGCUGAGGAGCGAAAGCGUGGGGAGCGAACAGG
rnacentral:rRNA from 1 species